rnacentral:rRNA from 1 species
AGAGUUUGAUCCUGGCUCAGGAUGAACGCUAGCUACAGGCUUAACACAUGCAAGUCGAGGGGCAGCAUGGUCUUAGCUUGCUAAGGCCGAUGGCGACCGGCGCACGGGUGAGUAACACGUAUCCAACCUGCCGUCUACUCUUGGACAGCCUUCUGAAAGGAAGAUUAAUACAAGAUGGCAUCAUGAGUCCACAUGUUCACAUGAUUAAAGGUAUUCCGGUAGACGAUGGGGAUGCGUUCCAUUAGAUAGUAGGCGGGGUAACGGCCCACCUAGUCUUCGAUGGAUAGGGGUUCUGAGAGGAAGGUCCCCCACAUUGGAACUGAGACACGGUCCAAACUCCUACGGGAGGCAGCAGUGAGGAAUAUUGGUCAAUGGGCGAGAGCCUGAACCAGCCAAGUAGCGUGAAGGAUGACUGCCCUAUGGGUUGUAAACUUCUUUUAUAAAGGAAUAAAGUCGGGUAUGCAUACCCGUUUGCAUGUACUUUAUGAAUAAGGAUCGGCUAACUCCGUGCCAGCAGCCGCGGUAAUACGGAGGAUCCGAGCGUUAUCCGGAUUUAUUGGGUUUAAAGGGAGCGUAGAUGGAUGUUUAAGUCAGUUGUGAAAGUUUGCGGCUCAACCGUAAAAUUGCAGUUGAUACUGGAUAUCUUGAGUGCAGUUGAGGCAGGCGGAAUUCGUGGUGUAGCGGUGAAAUGCUUAGAUAUCACGAAGAACUCCGAUUGCGAAGGCAGCCUGCUAAGCUGCAACUGACAUUGAGGCUCGAAAGUGUGGGUAUCAAACAGGAUUAGAUACCCUGGUAGUCCACACGGUAAACGAUGAAUACUCGCUGUUUGCGAUAUACGGCAAGCGGCCAAGCGAAAGCGUUAAGUAUUCCACCUGGGGAGUACGCCGGCAACGGUGAAACUCAAAGGAAUUGACGGGGGCCCGCACAAGCGGAGGAACAUGUGGUUUAAUUCGAUGAUACGCGAGGAACCUUACCCGGGCUUAAAUUGCAGAUGAAUUACGGUGAAAGCCGUAAGCCGCAAGGCAUCUGUGAAGGUGCUGCAUGGUUGUCGUCAGCUCGUGCCGUGAGGUGUCGGCUUAA